rnacentral:rRNA from 1 species
UUUAGCUUACGCUCUCAUGAUAACGAGCUAUAAUAUCCUCGUCGUUGCCCUCUCAUCCAUGGAUUCAGGUCGUAAUACCAGAAACUAUAGAACGCAGCUAAGCUUUCCAUUAUGACGAUGCGCGAAUAUUAGAGGUAAAACCAAUCAGUUUUGCACUCUGAUUUUUGGUGACUCUGAAUAGCUAGUCUGAUCGCAUGGUCGAUGUAAGGGCGACGUGUCUAUCAAGUGUCUGCUAUUAUCAGGAGUUCAAUUGUAGUUUAAAUGGGCGGACAUGGUUGUUGUAGCGUAACGGAGAAUACGAGUUCGUUUCCGGCGACGGAGCCGAUAUACACGUUGAGACCUGCAAGGAAGGCAGCAGGCGCGCCAAUUACCCCCUCUCAGCAUGAGGAGGUAGUGACGAAAAAUAACACGCCCGUCCUUUACGGGCCCGGUAGAGAGAAGGAGUGCAAUUUUACUCCGUUACCGAGGCUUUAUGAGAGGGCAAGUUUGGUGCCCGCAGCCGCGGUAAUUCCAGCUCUCCAAGUGUAAAGGCUCACUCUCGGGGUUAAAAAGCUCGUAGUUUGGUUACCGGUACAGGACAUGGUAGGCACAUUGGGCGUGAACGAAAGUCCUGGGCUAGUACACUUGAUUUUCCCGUCGUCGCCUCAAUCGCAUGCGUUGGGUGACUCUAGAGUGAGUCUUGAAAAAAUUAGAGUGCUUCCCGCUUGCUUUGCCUGAUAUUCCGCCAUUCGAAUGGAAUAGGUUCUCGGUUCUUUUCUCUUGUAUUCUCACAGAGAUCAAGUAGAGAGCCCCUACGGGAC